UGGGGAAUCUUCCGCAAUGGACGAAAGUCUGACGGAGCAACGCCGCGUGAGUGAAGAAGGUUUUCGGAUCGUAAAACUCUGUCUUUUGGGGCGAACGUGAGUAUGGUGAACAAUCAUAGUCAGUGACGGUACCAAAGGAGGAAGCCACGGCUAACUACGUGCCAGCAGCCGCGGUAAUACGUAGGUGGCAAGCGUUGUCCGGAAUUAUUGGGCGUAAAGAGCGCGUAGGCGGGAUAGUCAGUCUGUUGUAAAAGUGCGGGGCUCAACCCCGUGAUCGCAAUGGAAACAGCUAUUCUUGAGUGCAGGAGAGGAAAGUGGAAUUCCCAGUGUAGCGGUGAAAUGCGUAGAUAUUGGGAGGAACACCAGUGGCGAAGGCGACUUUCUGGACUGUGUCUGACGCUGAGGCGCGAAAGCCAGGGGAGCGAACGGGAUUAGAUACCCCGGUAGUCCUGGCCGUAAACGAUGGGUACUAGGUGUGGGAGGUAUCGACCCCUUCCGUGCCGGAGUUAACGCAAUAAGUACCCCGCCUGGGGAGUACGGUCGCAAGACUGAAACUCAAAGGAAUUGACGGGGUCAUAGCUGUUUCC
rnacentral:rRNA from 1 species